rnacentral:rRNA from 1 species
UUUAUGGAGAGUUUGAUCCUGGCUCAGGAUGAACGCUGGCGGCGUGCCUAAUACAUGCAAGUCGAGCGAACAGACGAGGAGCUUGCUCCUCUGACGUUAGCGGCGGACGGGUGAGUAACACGUGGAUAACCUACCUAUAAGACUGGGAUAACUUCGGGAAACCGGAGCUAAUACCGGAUAAUAUAUUGAACCGCAUGGUUCAAUAGUGAAAGACGGUUUUGCUGUCACUUAUAGAUGGAUCCGCGCCGCAUUAGCUAGUUGGUAAGG